GCAAGUCGAACGAUGAAGCUUCUAGCUUGCUAGAAGUGGAUUAGUGGCGCACGGGUGAGUAAGGUAUAGUUAAUCUGCCCUACACAAGAGGACAACAGUUGGAAACGACUGCUAAUACUCUAUACUCCUGCUUAACACAAGUUGAGUAGGGAAAGUUUUUCGGUGUAGGAUGAGACUAUAUAGUAUCAGCUAGUUGGUAAGGUAAUGGCUUACCAAGGCUAUGACGCUUAACUGGUCUGAGAGGAUGAUCAGUCACACUGGAACUGAGACACGGUCCAGACUCCUACGGGAGGCAGCAGUAGGGAAUAUUGCGCAAUGGGGGAAACCCUGACGCAGCAACGCCGCGUGGAGGAUGACACUUUUCGGAGCGUAAACUCCUUUUCUUAGGGAAGAAUUCUGACGGUACCUAAGGAAUAAGUACCGGCUAACUCCGUGCCAGCAGCCGCGGUAAUACGGAGGGUGCAAGCGUUACUCGGAAUCACUGGGCGUAAAGGGCGCGUAGGCGGAUUAUCAAGUCUCUUGUGAAAUCUAAUGGCUUAACCAUUAAACUGCUUGGGAAACUGAUAGUCUAGAGUGAGGGAGAGGCAGAUGGAAUUGGUGGUGUAGGGGUAAAAUCCGUAGAUAUCACCAAGAAUACCCAUUGCGAAGGCGAUCUGCUGGAACUCAACUGACGCUAAGGCGCGAAAGCGUGGGGAGCAAACAGGAUUAGAUACCCUGGUAGUCCACGCCCUAAACGAUGUACACUAGUUGUUGGGGUGCUAGUCAUCUCAGUAAUGCAGCUAACGCAUUAAGUGUACCGCCUGGGGAGUACGGUCGCAAGAUUAAAACUCAAAGGAAUAGACGGGGACCCGCACAAGCGGUGGAGCAUGUGGUUUAAUUCGAAGAUACGCGAAGAACCUUACCUGGGCUUGAUAUCCUAAGAACCUUAUAGAGAUAUGAGGGUGCUAGCUUGCUAGAACUUAGAGACAGGUGCUGCACGGCUGUCGUCAGCUCGUGUCGUGAGAUGUUGGGUUAAGUCCCGCAACGAGCGCAACCCACGUAUUUAGUUGCUAACGGUUCGGCCGAGCACUCUAAAUAGACUGCCUUCGUAAGGAGGAGGAAGGUGUGGACGACGUCAAGUCAUCAUGGCCCUUAUGCCCAGGGCGACACACGUGCUACAAUGGCAUAUACAAUGAGACGCAAUACCGCGAGGUGGAGCAAAUCUAUAAAAUAUGUCCCAGUUCGGAUUGUUCUCUGCAACUCGAGAGCAUGAAGCCGGAAUCGCUAGUAAUCGUAGAUCAGCCAUGCUACGGUGAAUACGUUCCCGGGUCUUGUACUCACCGCCCGUCACACCAUGGGAGUUGAUUUCACUCGAAGCCGGAAUACUAAAC
rnacentral:rRNA from 1 species